rnacentral:rRNA from 1 species
AGUGAACGCUGGCGGUAGGCCUAACACAUGCAAGUCGAACGGCAGCACAGUAAGAGCUUGCUCUUACGGGUGGCGAGUGGCGGACGGGUGAGGAAUACAUCGGAAUCUACUUUUUCGUGGGGGAUAACGUAGGGAAACUUACGCUAAUACCGCAUACGACCUACGGGUGAAAGCAGUGGAUCUUCGGACCUUGCGCGAUUGAAUGAGCCGAUGUCGGAUUAGCUAGUUGGCGGGGUAAAGGCCCACCAAGGCGACGAUCCGUAGCUGGUCUGAGAGGAUGAUCAGCAACACUGGAACUGAGACACGGUCCAGAGUCCUACGGGAGGCAGCAGUGGGGAAUAUUGGACAAUGGGCGCAAGCCUGAUCCAGCAAUACCGCGUGGGUGAAGAAGGCCUUCGGGUUGUAAAGCCCUUUUGUUGGGAAAGAAAAGCAGCAGGUUAAUACCCCGCUGUUCUGACGGUACCCAAAGAAUAAGCACCGGCUAACUUCGUG